CGUCAUCAGUUCGUGCGGUAAAUUUCAUCGCACUCGCACGGCGUUUCUGCAUCGCACGUCAAAAUGGUUGAGGCAAGGAAGAAGAAAUGCUGGUGCUGAAAGAGUGGCUGGUGGUCCACAGGCCAGAUAAUGGACUGACAUACGUCAGGUGCAAGCAAAGAAAAUGGCUACAGGUUGAAACUAGGAGCAAAAUCGCUGUAAGCAGCCAAGUUGAUCAGAGUAGCCGGAGGACCACCGACAAGAGACUGGAUGGCUGUUAGAAAGGAAUGGAAUGAUUUGAAGGUCCAGACUCAGGCUGCAGGAUAGGAGGAUCCAUACCAGCAUAGGAAACAUUUGAACUAGUCAUAGAUGCCUUGGCACUGCAGACAAAGUAUGGAGUCUGAGGACAAGAGACGGAAACGGGUCUCUUUUGCA